GAUGAACGCUGACAGCAUGCUUAACACAUCAGCAAUUGAUUGGUGGCGGACGGGUGAGUAAUGCGUAAAGAACUUGCCUCACAGGUAGGGACAACAUUUGGAAACGAAUGCUAAUACCUAAUACUGUGAGAGAGCUUUGCGUCCAAUUAGCUAGUUGGAGAGGUAACUGCUCACCAAGGCGAUGAUGGGUAGCCGGCCUGAGAGGGUGAUCGGGCACAAGGGGACUUAGAAACGGCCAGUAGUCAUACUGGCGGAAGGAGUGGGGAAUAUUGGACAAUGGACCAAAGUCUGAUCCAGCAAUUCUGUGUGCACGAUGAAGUUUUCGGAAUGAAAAGUGCUUUUAGUUGGUAAGCGGUACCAACAGAAGAAGUGACGGCUAAAUACGUGCCAGCAGCCGCGGUAAUAC
rnacentral:rRNA from 1 species